rnacentral:lncRNA from 1 species
UGCGUUGUUUAAUAUUUACUAUUCGGGUGUAUCAAUGUCGAUCGCGAUGUGAAAUCUCCAUUAACCUUAACCAUAUUAACAUUUAUUGGAGAUUUGACUGCACACGUUUACCUGGUAAGGUUUGUAAAGUAUGAUUUAAAUGUUAACAAAGCGUGGCGAAAAUGGUUAUUAUUAGCUUGUUUAUUAAUAUCUUAGUUAAAUUAGUG